rnacentral:rRNA from 1 species
CGCGGUUAUACGAUAGGAUCAAAUAUAAUUGUUUGGUGGAAAUGAGUAAAAAUAUGUUUUAAAAUAAUUUUUUGAGUGUAAAUUUAAAGGUGAAAUUUUAAAAUAUACAUAAUAAUAAUAUAAAAAAACUUUACAUUCUUUUGAAAUAAAGAUUUAAACUAGGAUUAGAUACCCUAUUAUUCUUUAUUGUUAGAUGCCUGGGUAGUAAAUGAUUGUCUAAACCUAAAGAAUUUGGCGGUACUUCAUUCUUACUAGAGGAACCUGCUCUUGUAUCGAUAUUCCACGAUUAAAUAUACAUAUUUUUGUUUUUCAGUUUGUAUACCGCCGUUGUCAGAUUAUUUUUAAAAAAUAUUAUCUAAUUAGUUUAUUACUAUGACAUCAGGUCAAGGUGCAGUCAAUGAAUUUGGGAGUAGUGGGUUACAAUAAUCUGGAAUUAUUACGGAUUAAUAGUUGUAUAAUUAUUAUGAAGGUGGAUUUAGUAGUAAAAUAAAGAUAAAAUAUUUAUAUGAAAUGAGCUCUGGAGUGUGUACAUAUCGCCCGUCGCUCUCUCCUUUAAGGAGAGAUAAGUCGUAACAUAGUAGAUGU